rnacentral:rRNA from 1 species
GUGGGGAAUAUUGCACAAUGGAGGAAACUCUGAUGCAGCGACGCCGCGUGAGUGAAGAAGUAUUUCGGUAUGUAAAGCUCUAUCAGCAGGAAAGAAAAUGACGGUACCUGACUAAGAAGCCCCGGCUAACUACGUGCCAGCAGCCGCGGUAAUACGUAGGGGGCAAGCGUUAUCCGGAUUUACUGGGUGUAAAGGGAGCGUAGACGGCCAUGCAAGUCUGAAGUGAAAGCUCGGGGCUCAACCCCGGAACUGCUUUGGAAACUGUAAGGCUGGAGUGCAGGAGAGGUAAGCGGAAUUCCUAGUGUAGCGGUGAAAUGCGUAGAUAUUAGGAGGAACACCAGAGGCGAAGGCGGCUUACUGGACUGUAACUGACGUUGAGGCUCGAAGGCGUGGGGAGCAAACAGG